rnacentral:rRNA from 1 species
AUGCUCUCCCCCGCCUCGCCGCUCCCCGGCCCCGACCACCUCUCCUUCCCCUUCGCCCUCUCCGCCGCCGCCGCGGCCCCCGUCGCCCCGCCCCCAGGCCCGCAGCUCCACGCGCUCCUCGUCAAGAACGCCCUCUUCCCCUCCGACCACUACGUCACCACCGCGCUGCUCCAGCUCCACGCGCCCCGCCCGGACGACGCGCGGAGGGUGUUCGACGAGUUGCCGCGGCGGGAGGCCAUCCACUACGACCUGGUCAUCGGGGCGUACGCGCGCGCCGGGAUGGCCGCCGAGGGGCUGGCGCUGUUCAGGGCCAUGUUCGUGGACGGGGUGGCGCCGGACGCCGUCGUGCUCACGACGGCGGUCGCGGCGUGCGCCCAGUCCGGUGCGCUGGAGUGCGGGGAGUGGGUGCACCGGUACGUGGAGAGCAACGCGCCUGGGCUGCUCGCGGACGCUUUCGUCGGGUCGGCGCUGGUAAGCAUGUACGCCAAAUGCGGGUGCCUGCAGGAGGCCGUGAGGGUGUUCGAGGGAAUGCCGGAGCGGAAUGAGUACGUCUGGGGCACAAUGGUUGGAGCGUUCGCGGUGCACGGCAUGGCGAGGGAGGCAGUGGCGUGCUUGGAGAGGAUGGCAGGCGAGGACGGGGUGCGCCCGGAUGGCGUGGCGGUGCUCGGGGCGCUGUCCGCCUGCGCACACGCUGGAAAGGUUGAAGACGGGCUCAGACUUCUCAAGGAGAUGCGGCGGCGGUACGGCGUCACCCCGGGGCACGAGCACUACAGCUGCACGGUCGACAUGCUGUGCCGAGUCGGGCGGCUGGAGGACGCGGUGGGUCUGAUCGGGACAAUGCCGAUGACCCCGCUUGCAUCGGUGUGGGGCUCUCUCCUAGCAGGCUGCCGGAUGUACGGCAACGUCAAGUUGGCUGAGGUGGCGGCCAAGGAGCUCGAGAAGCUAGGCGUGGGCGCCGACGAGGGCGUGUACGUCCAGCUGUCCAACAUUUAUCUUGACGCCAACCGCAAGGAUGACGCGCGGAGGGUGCGAAAGCUGAUCGGCAGCCGGGGGCUCAAGAAGGUUCCAGCGUAUAGCGCGGUGGAGGUCGACGGCGAGCUAAGCUCGUUCGUCGCUGACGACCAGGCGCAUCCGCGGCGGUUCGAGAUAUGGGACUUGCUUGGGCUGCUCGCUGACCAGAUGGGGCUGAAGUCAGACGAGGAGGACGAAGAAGAAGAAACAACCUUUUCGUUGCGCCCUUGUAGCAAUAAAAGGAAAUUUGAAAACCAUGUAACAGACUAA